UUGGAGGGCAAGUCUGGUGCCAGCAGCCGCGGUAAUUCCAGCUCCAAUAGCGUAUAUUAAAGUUGUUGCAGUUAAAAAGCUCGUAGUUGAAUUUCGGGAUCAAUAUAUCGGUCGUGCCUUGGUACGUACUGGUAUCAUUGGUUUCUCCUUUCUGACGAACCAUGAUGUCAUUAAUUUUGUGUUAUGGGAAGUUAGGACUGUUACUUUGAAAAAAUUAGAGUGUUUAAAGCAGGCUUUAGCUUGAAUACAUUAGCAUGGAAUAAUGAAAUAGGACGUUCGAACCUAUUUUGUUGGUUUCUAGGAUCAACGUAAUGAUUAAUAGGGAUAGUUGGGGGCAUUAGUAUUCAAUUGUCAGAGGUGAAAUUCUUGGAUUUAUUGAAGACUAACUACUGCGAAAGCAUUUGCCAAGGAUGUUUUCAUUAAUCAAGAACGAAAGUUAGGGGAUCGAAGACGAUCAGAUACCGUCGUAGUCUUAACCAUAAACUAUGCCGACUAGGGAUCGGAUGAUAUUAAUUUUUUAAUGACUCAUUCGGCGCCUUACGGGAAAC
rnacentral:rRNA from 1 species